UUAGUGGCGCACGGGUGCGUAACGCGUGGGAACCUGCCUUUAGGUUCGGAAUAACAGUUAGAAAUGACUGCUAAUACCGGAUAAUGUCUUCGGACCAAAGAUUUAUUGCCUUUAGAUGGGCCCGCGUUGGAUUAGAUAGUUGGUGGGGUAAUGGCCUACCAAGUCGACGAUCCAUAGCUGGUCUGAGAGGAUGAUCAGCCACACUGGGACUGAGACACGGCCCAGACUCCUACGGGAGGCAGCAGUGGGGAAUAUUGGACAAUGGGCGAAAGCCUGAUCCAGCAAUGCCGCGUGAGUGAUGAAGGCCUUAGGGUUGUAAAGCUCUUUUACCAGGGAUGAUAAUGACAGUACCUGGAGAAUAAGCUCCGGCUAACUCCGUGCCAGCAGCCGCGGUAAUACGGAGGGAGCUAGCGUUGUUCGGAAUUACUGGGCGUAAAGCGCACGUAGGCGGCUUUUCAAGUCAGGGGUGAAAUCCCGGGGCUCAACCCCGGAACUGCCCUUGAAACUGGAUGGCUAGAAUACUGGAGAGGU
rnacentral:rRNA from 1 species